rnacentral:rRNA from 1 species
GUUCUACCUUGACGAGUUGUAGUUUAAAGAAGUGUUUUCUGUUAGAGGAGUAGCAAAAGUUCCUUGGAAUGGGGCAUCAUAGAGGGUGAGAAUCCCGUAUUUGGUUAUUCUUUCUAGCUUUGUGAUACACUUUCAAAGAGUCGGAUUGUUUGGGAAUGCAGUCCAAAAUGGGUGGUAAAUUUCAUCUAAAGCUAAAUAUUGGCGAGAGACCGGUAGCGAACAAGUACCGUGAGGGAAAGAUGAAAAGAACUUUGAAAAGAGAGUUAAACAGUACGUGAAAUUGUCAAAAGGGAAGCGUUUGACACCAGUGUUGUUUUUCCGAAAAUCAAUUAAGAAGGGCUUGAUUUUGUGUUGUAUUGACCUUAUCAGCUUUCUUCACUCUUUUUCGAGUCUUUCUU